UUGCACGCUGGCGGCAGGCCUAACACCUGCCAGUCGAACGGUAACAGGAAGCAGCUUGCUGCUUCGCUGACGCGUGGCGGACGGGUGAGUAAUGUCUGGGAAGCUGCCUGAUGGAGGGGGAUAACUACUGGAAACGGUAGCUAAUACCGCAUAAUGUCGCAAGACCAAAGAGGGGGACCUUCGGGCCUCUUGCCAUCGGAUGUGCCCAGAUGGGAUUAGCUUGUUGGUGGGGUAACGGCUCACCAAGGCGACGAUCCCUAGCUGGUCUGAGAGGAUGACCACCCCCACGGGAAAGGGGAACGGGCCCAGCCCCUGCGGGGGGGCAGGGGGGGGAAAUUUGGACAAAGGGGGGAAAGCCGAAGGCAGCCAGGCCGGGGGGAUGAAGAAGGCCUUCGGGUUGUAAAGUACUUUAGGGGGGGAGGAAGGGAGUAAAGUUAAUCCCUGUGCUCAUGGAGGUUCCCCGCAGAAGAAGCCCCGGCUAACCCCGU
rnacentral:rRNA from 1 species